UACGGGGGGGGCAAGCGUUGUUCGGAAUUACUGGGCGUAAAGGGCGUGUAGGCGGCCAACUAAGUCCGACGUGAAAUCCCCAGGCUUAACCUGGGAACUGCGUCGGAUACUGGAUGGCUUGAAUCCGGGAGAGGGAUGCAGAAUUCCAGGUGUAGCGGUGAAAUGCGUAGAUAUCUGGAGGAACACCGGUGGCGAAGGCGGCAUCCUGGACCGGUAUUGACGCUGAGGCGCGAAAGCCAGGGGAGCAAACGGG
rnacentral:rRNA from 1 species